UAGAAUUAAUGAGAAUAAAGAUGUGGCUUUUUGUGGUUCUUUCCCCUCUCUUCCUUCCUUUCAUUUCUCUCUUUUUUCUUCUUCUUAUUUUAAAUCUUAAAAACUCCCAAAGAUCAACCAUCCAGAAAAGAACAUAUAAACAGACAAUUAAACAAAUAAGAGAGCUAAAAUUAAAUUCACACAUAGAAACACAACAGUCCAAAGACCAACCUAUGUUCCCCAUAGCUAUACCAA
rnacentral:misc_RNA from 1 species